GCGGGCGUGGCGGAACUGGUAGACGCGCCAGACUCAAAAUCUGGUUUCCGUAAGGAAGUGGGAGUUCGAUUCUCCCCGCCCGCACCA
rnacentral:tRNA from 1 species